UACGGAGGAUGCGAGCGUUAUCCGGAUUUAUUGGGUUUAAAGGGUGCGUAGGCGGGAUGCCAAGUCAGCGGUAAAAAUGCGGUGCUCAACGCCGUCGAGCCGUUGAAACUGGCGUUCUUGAGUGGGCGAGAAGUAUGCGGAAUGCGCGGUGUAGCGGUGAAAUGCAUAGAUAUCACGCAGAACUCCGAUUGCGAAGGCAGCAUACCGGCGCCCUACUGACGCUGAGGCACGAAAGUGCGGGGAUCGAACAGG
rnacentral:rRNA from 1 species